GUUGUAUACUGCGGUAUGAAACAUAUUCAUUCUUCACACCCGCCCCUCCACCGCCACCACAGCCAAUGCCAAACUCACCGCCGCCACUGGCUACGACAAACGCUCUGCAGCUACCACCGCCACCGGCUACGACAAACUCUCUGCAUCUACCACCGCCUGAAAAUCCUACCCCUCCAGAUGGAAAGAAAAAAUCAUCCACAAGGAUUAUCGCUAUUGCGACAAUUAUUUCAAGUGCAGUUCUUUUACUGGCCGUUUGCCUGUUUUGUAUGUAUAGAAGAAAGACUAGACAGGAAGGAAGGAAUGAUCAAAGCCAUGUAUCACUUAAUCAAACAGAGAGAUCAAAUACUGGGGACAGAAGCAAAACAAAUAGGACAUGGUGGUGUGGGAGGAGAUGAAAAUACGUCAUUGCUCUUUCAUUUAGAGACAAUUGUAGCUUAUACUAACAAUUGUUUUGAAAAAAAUAAGUUGGGAGGAGGGGGGUAUGGUCCUGUAUACAUGGGGAAGUUGCAAGAUGGGAAAAUGGUUGCAGUAAAACGACUUUCAAGCUGUUCAGGGCAGGGUUUAGAAGCGUUCAAGAAUGAAGUUAUCUUGAUUGCCAAACUCCAACAUAGGAAUCUUGUGAGGCUCCUUGAAUGUUGUUUAGAAAGACAGGAAAAACUUCUGAUUUAUGAAUACAUGCCCAACAAGAGCCUCGACACCAUCCUAUUUGGUUUGUAUCCAAACUCUACAUUGAUUUCAUGAUAUUCAUGCACACAUUUGAGGGGAUGAACUCAAGCCAACAUCAUCAAUAUUGUUGGAACAUAUGGUUACAUGCCUCCCGAGUACAUUUUGCAGGGGCAUAUCUCAGUGAAGACUGAUAUCUAUUGCUUUGGAGUUCUGCUAUUGGAAAUUGUCUGUGGGAGAAAGAACAAUGAGCCAUCGGACGGGAGUCAAGGACUAGUAGAAUACGCAUGGCGGUUGUGGCGUGAUGGGAGACUCAUAGAGUUGAUGGAUCAAUCUCUUGGUGAGACAUGCCCACGAAACCAAGUUUUGAGAUUCAUUCACAUUCGGCUUCUUUGUGUUCAAGCAGAUGCUACAGAGAGCCCCCCUAUUUCUUCAGUGGUUGUCAUGUUGGGAAGUGAUUCUUCGAGUCUUAGCUUGCCGAUGCCUCCACCUAUGGUUUUUGAUGAUAGAACCAUUAAAAGGUAAGAUGUAUCUUCAAAUUACACAGAAGGCAACUCUGUAAAUGAGGUCUCAAUUACUGACUUCGAUGGUUGCUAAGCUUAAGCAUUUUGACAUUAACUUUUCAACAGUGUGAUAGAAUGUCUCCUUGCUUUUUGUUUAAAGAAUGUCUCCUUGCUUUUUGUUUAAAAUUUGGAUUUUCUGGUGAUACUCUUUUUGUGAGUUUUUGGGGUGA